rnacentral:rRNA from 1 species
UACGGCGGGGGCAAGCGUUGUUCGGAUUUACUGGGCGUAAAGGGCGCGUAGGCGGCGCGUAAAGUCGGACAUGAAAUCAUUGGGCUUAACCCGAUGGCUGUGCCGGAUACUUGCGUGCUUAGAGUGCGGUAGAGGCAGACGGAAUUCUCGGUGUAGCGGUGAAAUGCGUAGAUAUCGAGAGGAACUCCGGUGACGAAGGUGGGUUACUGGACCGACACUGACGCUGAGGCGCGAAAGCUAGGGGAGCAAACGGG